AGUGAACGCUGGCGGUAGGCCUAACACAUGCAAGUCGAACGGCAGCACAGGAGAGCUUGCUCUCUGGGUGGCGAGUGGCGGACGGGUGAGGAAUACAUCGGAAUCUACUCUGUCGUGGGGGAUAACGUAGGGAAACUUACGCUAAUACCGCAUACGACCUACGGGUGAAAGCAGGGGAUCUUCGGACCUUGCGCGAUUGAAUGAGCCGAUGUCGGAUUAGCUAGUUGGCGGGGUAAAGGCCCACCAAGGCGACGAUCCGUAGCUGGUCUGAGAGGAUGAUCAGCCACACUGGAACUGAGACACGGUCCAGACUCCUACGGGAGGCAGCAGUGGGGAAUAUUGGACAAUGGGCGCAAGCCUGAUCCAGCCAUACCGCGUGGGUGAAGAAGGCCUUCGGGUUGUAAAGCCCUUUUGUUGGGAAAGAAAUCCAGCUGGUUAAUACCCGGUUGGGAUGACGGUACCCAAAGAAUAAGCACCGGCUAACUUCGUGCCAGCAGCCGCCGCCG
rnacentral:rRNA from 1 species